GAUAGCUUAGUUGGUUAGAGCAUGGUGUCGUUAACACCAAGGUUGCAGGUUCAAUUCCCAUAUGGGAUAGCUACA